UGCAGGCGAUGAUGUUAUCACUUAUGACGAGUUCCAGAUUCAGAAUUGAAAGCAAAUGCACGAUGACAUAGCAGAGAUUGAAUGUGGAACAAAUAUGGAGCCAUCUAAUAACAAUAGCCAACCAAAGUCUCASGCAGCUUUCUGAUUGCUAGGCGAUGUGAAAACAAGAAUUCUGUCGUGGUUUAGCUGCCURCAAUAUCCGAACUUUGAGGGAUAAAGAGCAUAACAUCUUUGACUUUCCUUACUACCCGUGCUUGUAUGAUYGAUAGACGGAGAAAUUUUGUGAAUGACGAGACUGGCUUAAUGGUAUGCCCGUCUCGAACAAGGGAUCUCACUUGGAGAUUGCAUCUAAAAGCGUUUGAGAUGAGCAUCUUAAAGGAGAUUCUCAUAUUGAUAUUAUUYAUGGAAUUUCUUUAAUCGUUGA